UGGGGAAUAUUGGACAAUGGGCGCAAGCCUGAUCCAGCCAUGCCGCGUGAGUGACGAAGGCCUUAGGGUUGUAAAGCUCUUUUGGCAGGGACGAUAAUGACGGUACCUGGAGAAUAAGCCCCGGCAAACUUCGUGCCAGCAGCCGCGGUAAUACGAAGGGGGCUAGCGUUGUUCGGAAUUACUGGGCGUAAAGCGCACGUAGGCGGAUUGUUAAGUCAGAGGUGAAAUCCCGGAGCUCAACUUCGGAACUGCCUUUGAUACUGGCAAUCUCGAGUCCGGAAGAGGUUAGUGGAAUUCCCAGUGUAGAGGUGAAAUUCGUAGAUAUUGGGAAGAACACCAGUGGCGAAGGCGGCUAACUGGUCCGGUACUGACGCUGAGGUGCGAAAGCGUGGGGAGCAAACAGGAUUAGAUACCCUUGUAGUCCCUGAGCGGGCUGGCAAGGCGCAU
rnacentral:rRNA from 1 species